AGGAUAGAACCUUUCACAGGAGACAACAGCUUUUAAAACGCAACCAGGGACUACCAGGAAACACCACAACAAACACCCAAAACACAGGAAGGAGCCCGCCAGCUGCAGAAAGCCAGCCUGAGGAUCAAAAGCACAACAUCCCAGAUAACUGUGAAGGUAAUGGGGAGCAUAGGGAAUUCCUGAUGUCCUGCAAAUCUUCAGCAAGGAGCAUGGAAGAAGAGUGCAGGAAAAGACAGUGAGAGGACAUUAUUUCCUAUGCACAUGAGAUAAGCUCUCAGCAUGAGUACAACCCAGAGUCCCACUUAGCUUCUCUUCACGUAUUUACUUUGCAGAGAUGAGGCCACUCGCACCAAUGGAGCAGGCGGGGAAGAAGACGCAUCUAUUGGUGAAGCUCAGCCCAGCUCUGUUGGCAUCAAGCACCCAUGUUUAUUACAGCUGGCAAAGAGGUCCCAGCUUCAGACAGCCGUCUGCCAUCCGCUUUGGCCAGACACCGAGACGCUAGCAAUUGUCUGCUGUUACUGUCAUGAGUAAAGUUAUAGAAGAGCUAUAAGGGAAGUCUGACAUAUUUCAUAUCUUGCACUACUCCAAUGAAAGCUGCAUCUGAGAGAAGAUAGAAAUUAUAGGUGAGUACAAGAUCUAUGUGGUACCCUUUUUAAAACCUUUAGAUGCUCACAUGAUGCACAAACCAAAGCCGUGAGUGGUUUGAUUAUUUUAUAUAUGGAUCAGUGCAGUUAUUGGUGAAAUUAAGGCCAUGCAUCCUGCCUGUCAGUGGGUUUGCACAAUGGACAUGAUGGGGGCCAACCUAGUAGGGCUUAUAAGAGACAUUUCUAUUCCUAUACAUGCUCUUUACAGGGGUUCAUGCUGUGCUGAGGAGCUGUGCUCGUGGACCCGGACAAUUGUAUGAAAUAACUGGAUAGUCAUGAAGUGGAGAAAGUACUCUCAUCCCCACCCUCAUGAUGGGUAUGCCUGUG